rnacentral:ncRNA from 1 species
AAUUCUCUCAGGUUCUAGCACGGCCCUCGGAAUGGCUAGAACUUUUUAGCCGUCCCUUUGGGACGGCUUUUUUU